GGGGGUGUAGCUCAGCUGGGAGAGCACCUGCUUUGCAAGCAGGGGGUCAUCGGUUCGAUCCCGUUCAUCUCCACCA
rnacentral:tRNA from 5 species